GAUGACAGUCAGGGUUGUCGAGAGGAGCGACGAAGUCAGCGUCCAAGUGGCUGCGGUGGCCAAACAUGCCGAUGACGGGGUCGAAGAAGCGCCGCCACUGAGCGUAGUUGCCGGCCGCCAGGUCGAGGGUGACCAUGACAUGCUGACGGAUGUCUACCGUCUGCAGGAUGGAGGCAGGAAGGAGGGCGCCGCAAUGUAAGACAAAGGGUUUU
rnacentral:lncRNA from 1 species